AAUCUGAUCUAGCAGAGUUUCUACAGCUGGAUGCCCUUCCUAGCGCCAACCACUCCGAGAGUGUAGUGGGUGCUUUUAUGUGCCACUGGCACGAGGGCCAAUUAGGUGGUACUAGCAACGGCUACACUCAAAUGGUAUUGUUUACAAACCACCCACACAACAGCC